UACAGAGGGUGCAAGCGUUAUUCGGAAUUAUUGGGCGUAAAGGGCGCGUAGGCGGCCUGGCAAGUGGAAGGUGAAAUCCCUCGGCUUAACCGAGGAACUGCCUUCCAAACUGCUUGGCUUGAGUCCGGGAGAGGUGAGUGGAAUUCCCAGUGUAGCGGUGAAAUGCGUAGAUAUUGGGAGGAACACCAGUGGCGAAGGCGGCUCACUGGACCGGAACUGACGCUGAUGCGCGAAAGCGUGGGGAGCAAACGGG
rnacentral:rRNA from 1 species